rnacentral:rRNA from 1 species
GACGAACGCUGGCGGCGUGCUUAACACAUGCAAGUCGAACGGAAAGGCCCUGCUUGCAGGGUGCUCGAGUGGCGAACGGGUGAGUAACACGUGGGUGAUCUGCCCCUUACUUUGGGAUAAGCCUGGGAAACUGGGUCUAGUACUGGAUAGGACCAUGCUGUAGGUGGUGUGGUGGAAAGAUUAGUUUCGGUAAGGGAUGAGCUCGCGGCCUAUCAGCUUGUUGGUGGAGUAAUGGCCUACCAAGGCGUCGACGGGUAGCCGGCCUGAGAGGGUGGACGGCCACAUUGGGACUGAGAUACGGCCCAGACUCCUACGGGAGGCAGCAGUGGGGAAUAUUGCACAAUGGGCGCAAGCCUGAUGCAGCGACGCCGCGUGGGGGAUGACGGCCUUCGGGUUGUAAACUCCUUUCAGCCAUGACGAAGCCCUUGUGGUGACGGUAGUGGUAGAAGAAGCACCGGCUAACUACGUG